AACGAACGCUGGCGGCAUGCCUAACACAUGCAAGUCGAACGAGACCUUCGGGUCUAGUGGCGCACGGGUGCGCAACGCGUGGGAAUCUACCCUUGGGUUCGGAAUAACUCAGAGAAAUUUGAGCUAAUACCGGAUGAUGUCGCAAGACCAAAGAUUUAUCGCCCAAGGAUGAGCCCGCGUAGGAUUAGCUUGUUGGUGAGGUAAAAGCUCACCAAGGCGACGAUCCUUAGCUGGUCUGAGAGGAUGAUCAGCCACACUGGGACUGAGACACGGCCCAGACUCCUACGGGAGGCAGCAGUGGGGAAUAUUGGACAAUGGGCGAAAGCCUGAUCCAGCAAUGCCGCGUGAGUGAUGAAGGCCUUAGGGUUGUAAAGCUCUUUUACCCGGGAUGAUAAUGACAGUACCGGGAGAAUAAGCCCCGGCUAACUCCGUGCCAGCAGCCGCGGUAAU
rnacentral:rRNA from 1 species